rnacentral:rRNA from 1 species
AUUGAACGCUGGCGGCACGCUUUACACAUGCAAGUCGAACGGUAACAGGCCGCAAGGUGCUGACGAGUGGCGAGCGGGUGAGUAAUGCAUCGGAACGUGCCCAGUCGUGGGGGAUAACGCAGCGAAAGCUGCGCUAAUACCGCAUACGAUCUGUGGAUGAAAGCGGGGGACCGUAAGGCCUCGCGCGAUUGGAGCGGCCGAUGUCAGAUUAGGUAGUUGGUGGGGUAAAGGCUCACCAAGCCGACGAUCUGUAGCUGGUCUGAGAGGACGACCAGCCACACUGGGACUGAGACACGGCCCAGACUCCUACGGGGGGCAGCAGUGGGGAAUUUUGGACAAUGGGCGCAAGCCUGAUCCAGCAAUGCCGCGUGCAGGAAGAAGGCCUUCGGGUUGUAAACUGCUUUUGUACGGAACGAAAAGGCUCUGGUUAAUACCUGGGGCUCAUGACGGUACCGUAAGAAUAAGCACCGGCUAACUACGUGCCAGCCGCCGCUGUAAAAC